rnacentral:pre_miRNA from 1 species
GUCAGGAAGAGGAAUAAAAUGAGCAUCUAGGAGCAUUGAGCAUGGGAACAUGGAGGAAGACCUAAACUAGUGUCCCACUACAACUAGGGUCCAACAUUUGUUUCGUAAUUUUCCUGAUGCCUCCCAUGCAUAUUGUUCUUAGGUGCUCCUUCCUCCCCCUUAUGAUU